rnacentral:tRNA from 1 species
AAAUCUAUAAAAACUUGUUUUGAAAACAAGCAUCAGAAAUUAUUUCUUAGGUUUU